UUGUUCCUCCUUGCAGCCCCGUGGUUCCAAGGUGGACGUUGAAGCAGUUGCUGUGGCCCUGAAGCAAUCCUUUUGAGGCGGCUUUCUUGGUCCAUGGUUCUCUGUUUGUGCUCUCGGAUGCGGAAUACUAUGCGGACAAAGGGCCUUUGGCCUUUGGUUGCUCCGAAUCUAGUCCCUCGACACGAACGACUAUCGUUACCUUAUUGGCCGUCGGGUUCAUUUGGUGCGA
rnacentral:misc_RNA from 1 species